AUGCACACCAAGAAGACUGACGGGAAGGAUUCACAUGUUCAAAUGGCCCAUGCCCCUCUGAGUGAAGGGCUAAGUUUGAUCUUUGAUCAGGAUGCCCAAUCCAGCUCUUCCUGUUCUCGUUACCCAUCUAGAAGUAGUCAUACCAGUAGCCAGUCCUCUGGCUCUAGACGACAACUUAAGCGAAAUAAUGCUCGUAGGGGACGUCACAGGUCCUCCACCAGUUCUUCGUCCUCCAGAUCAUCCCACUCAUCCAACAGCAGCACUCGGACCCGUCCCAGGUCCCGGUCACACCCGCGCUGCCAAAGAGCCUCCUCCAGCUCACGCUGCUGCCGUCAACAUCAACAGGCACAUGGACAUAGGCGCCACCGCUCACCAUCACGCUGUUACAGGGCACACUCGCGCUCCUACAGCCCUUCCUCUUCCCCAGACAGGCCAAACCGCCACAGUUCCCGCUCCAGGUCAGCCAGCUGGAGCAGGGUUCAUAGGGGGUUUGUGGGCAGGUACAAGUGCACGUUUUCUGGAUCACCCAACAGAAGCCACAAGACCUACACGAGCCGCUCCACAUCUUCAGGACAAUCAUUUGUCAGCCUCCAUAUAGAGAAAAAGGGGGAACUCAGGACUACGAAUGCCACCCAGGCACUGGGGAUGGAGCAACUGGACCUUCCUGAGAGUGUGACGCCCAUCCUGGAGGAGCAGCAACUGAAAACCGGACUAGCCACACCAGAACCAGAGGAACGGGUGAGACCAGAGCCACUCCCUCAAAAUAGUUUAUCACAGAUCUCAUGA
rnacentral:lncRNA from 1 species